AUUGAACGCUGGCGGCAUGCUUUACACAUGCAAGUCGAACGGCAGCGCGGGCUUCGGCCUGGCGGCGAGUGGCGAACGGGUGAGUAAUGCAUCGGAACGUGCCCAGUAGUGGGGGAUAGCCCGGCGAAAGCCGGAUUAAUACCGCAUACGACCUGAGGGUGAAAGCGGGGGACCGAAAGGCCUCGCGCUAUUGGAGCGGCCGAUGUCGGAUUAGCUAGUUGGUGGGGUAAAGGCUUACCAAGGCGACGAUCCGUAGCUGGUCUGAGAGGACGACCAGCCACACUUGGACCUGGACACGGGCCAAACUCCGUAGGGAAGCAGCAGGGGGGAAUUUUGGACAAUGGGGGCAACCCUGAUCCAGCCAUGCCGCGUGCGGGAAGAAGGCCUUCGGGUUGUAAACCGCUUUUGUUCGGGAAGAAAUCCUCUGGGCUAAUACCCCGGGGGGAUGACGGUACCGGAAGAAUAAGCACCGGCUAACUACGUG
rnacentral:rRNA from 1 species